GCCAAUGCGGGCAACCGCUUUGUUGGUGAUUCAUAAUAAUUAAUCGAAUCGCAUGGCCUUGAGCCGGCGAUGAUACAUUCAAAUUUCUGCCCUAUCAAGUUUCGAUGGUAGGUUAGUGGCCUACCAUGCUUUUAACGGGUAACGGGGAAUUAGGGUUCGAUUCCGGAGAGGGAGCCUGAGAAACGGCUACCACAUCCAAGGAAGGCAGCAGGCGCGCAAAUUACCCAAUCCCGAUACGGGGAGGUAGUGACAAUAAAUAACAAUACAGGGCUUUUACGAGUCUUGUAAUUGGAAUGAGUACAAUUUAAAUCCCUUAACGAGGAACAAUUGGAGGGCAAGUCUGGUGCCAGCAGCCGCGGUAAUUCCAGCUCCAAUAGCGUAUAUUAAAGUUGUUGCAGUUAAAAAGCUCGUAGUUGAGUUUUGACCUUGAAUGAUUCUACUGUAAAUUCAUUUUUACGGUUUGAAUGAUUUGGGUUUACUGGAUAGUUAGCUAUGGUUUAUCUUCGGAUGGGCUUUAGUGAUCUAUCUCUUUUACUUUGAAAAAAUUAGAGUGUUUAAAGCAGGCAUUAUUGCUUGAAUAUAUUAGCAUGGAAUAAUGAAAUAGGACUUUGGUUUUAUUUCGUUGGUUUCUAAAACCAAAGUAAUGAUGAAUAGGGAUAGUUGGGGACAUUAGUAUUCAAUAGUCAGAGGUGAAAUUCUUGGAUUUAUUGAAGACUAACUUCUGCGAAAGCAUUUGUCAAGGAUGUUUUCAUUAAUCAAGAACGAAAGUUAGGGGAUCGAAGACGAUCAGAUACCGUCGUAGUCUUAACCAUAAACUAUGCCGACUAAGGAUUGGAUGGUGUUAUAUUUUUAAUUGACCCAUUCAGCACUUCCGCGAAAGCCAAG
rnacentral:rRNA from 1 species